AAGGGCACCACAAGAACGCGUGGAGCAUGUGGCUUAAUUUGACUCAACGCGGGAAAUCUUACCGGGUCCGGACACACUGAGGAUUGACAGGCAAUAUUAAUACGUGUUCGCACGUAUUAUGUUAAAUAUGCUAGUCCUUUCAUGAUUAUGUGAUAGGUGGUGCAUGGCCGUUCUUAGUUCGUGGAGUGAUCUGUCUGCUUAAUUGCGUUUCACUAAGGGCCUAUAAAUUUACGUGUGUUGCGGCACUUUGACCCCUUUCUUCGGAAAGCGCGUGUCUUAGUUUGCUUUGCUCACACAAUUAGGUCCUGAAAGCAACGAACGUGACCGCAACCUCUUGUUGCCUUUAUACCAAACAUGUUUGACAUUUUUAUGGCAUUCAUGAAAAAAGGCUUUUUAAACUAGAGGGACCGCUGUUACUUUCUUAAACCAGAGGAAGGUUGCGGCAAUAACAGGUCUGUGAUGCCCUUAGAUGUUCCGGGCUGCACACGUGCUACAAUGAUUAUUGCAGUGAGCAUCUCAUUUUUACACACCGCAUGCGCGAGUCCAUUUAUUCACUUCGGUGCUUUAAAUGUGUAUUUCUGCGCGCGGUAAAGCCUGCUUCGAAAGUAAGUGGGUAAUCAAUUAGAAGUAAUGAUUUCCUUUUUAGCACACAUAUAUACGGCGUCUAUACCCGGGUUACCUUGUUGUAACUUUUGUGUGUAUAGAUGUUUUUUCCGUAUGUGCGAUUGUCAAUUCAUGGUGGGGACAGACCAUUGUUAAUUGUUGGUCUCGGUCUUAACUAGGAAUGCCUUGUACGGGUCUUUGGUUCAACAAACCACCCGGAAUACGUCCCUGCCCUUUGU
rnacentral:rRNA from 1 species